rfam:Trabulsiella guamensis ATCC 49490 GTGT.assembly.040, whole genome shotgun sequence.
UUUUCCGUGUUGAAUCUUGUUAAAACAAGGAAAUUUGCGGAAUUACCAGUUUUGCCCGACCGAUCAUCCACGCAGCAAUGGCGUAAGACGUAUUGAUCUUUCAGGCAGUUAGCGGGCUGCGGGUUGCAGUCCUUACCGGUAAAUGGAAGCAACUCUGGAGAGUUUUCCCAGGCUGUUCCCCUGUUAAUUGCGCUGUGUUUGUCUCAACAACACAGGCAGCCGACACUCUGCGCCUCUUAAGCGAGCGACAACCGUGAGGUUGGCGACGUGAACAGACACGAGGCCAUCGGUUCACCCCCGGAAAGGCAUUACUCUGCCCGCAGCUUAGUCGUCAA